GACGAACGCUGGCGGCGUGCUUAACACAUGCAAGUCACGGGGGCCCGCAAGGGUAACCGGCGAACGGGUGCGUAACACGUGAGCAAGCUUCCGAUUAGUGGGGGAUAGCCGGCCUAACGGCCGGGUAAUACCGCAUACGAUCACCGGGCGGCAUCGUCUGGUGAGGAAACCUCCGGGGCUAAUCGAGGCGCUCGCGGCCUAUCAGCUAGUUGGCGGGGUAAUGGCCCACCAAGGCGAUGACGGGUAGCUGGUCUGAGAGGAUGGCCAGCCACAUUGGGACUGAGGCACGGCCCAGACUCCUACGGGAGGCAGCAGUGGGGAAUAUUGCGCAAUGGACGAAGGUCUGACGCAGCGACGCCGCGUGUGGGAUGAGGCCUUUCGGGGCGUAAACCACUGUUGCCCGGGACGAAUCUCCCCUUUCGAGGGGAUUGACGGUACCGGGUGAGGAAGCACCGGCUAACUCUGUGCCAGCCGCCGCCGUAAUAC
rnacentral:rRNA from 1 species